rnacentral:rRNA from 1 species
GUGUCAGCCGCCGCGGUAAUACAGAGGGUGCAAGCGUUGUCCGGAAUCACUGGGCGUAAAGGGCGCGUAGGCGGCCCGAUAAGUAGGGGGUGAAAUCUUGCGGCUCAACCGCAAGGCUGCCUUCUAGACUGUCGGGCUUGAGCACAGUAGAGGCAGGUGGAAUUCCCGGUGUAGCGGUGGAAUGCGUAGAGAUCGGGAAGAACAUCGGUGGCGAAGGCGGCCUGCUGGGCUGUUGCUGACGCUGAGGCGCGACAGCGUGGGGAGCAAACAGGAUUAGAAACCCCCGUAGUCC